rnacentral:rRNA from 1 species
AAGGAAUAUUGGUCAAUGGACGCAAGUCUGAACCAGCCAUGCCGCGUGGAGGAUGAAGGUCCUCUGGAUUGUAAACUUCUUUUAUCUGGGACGAAACACUUCUUUUCUAAGAGGCCUGACGGUACCAGAUGAAUAAGCACCGGCUAACUCCGUGCCAGCAGCCGCGGUAAUACGGAGGGUGCAAGCGUUAUCCGGAUUCACUGGGUUUAAAGGGUGCGUAGGUGGGUAUGUAAGUCAGUGGUGAAAUCCCCGAGCUUAACUUGGGAACUGCCAUUGAUACUAUAUAUCUUGAGUACCGUAGAGGGAAGCGGAAUAUGUCAUGUAGCGGUGAAAUGCUUAGAUAUGACAUGGAACACCAAUUGCGAAGGCAGCUUACUAUGCGGUGAUUGACACUGAGGCACGAAAGCGUGGGUAGCAAACA